rnacentral:rRNA from 1 species
AUUGAACGCUGGCGGCAUGCUUUACACAUGCAAGUCGAACGGUAACAGCACUUCGGUGGCUGACGAGUGGCGCACGGGUGAGUAAUACAUCGGAACGUGCCUAGUAGUUGGGGAUAACUACUCGCAAGAGUAGCUAAUACCGCAUGAGAUCUAAGGAUGAAAGCAGGGGACCUUCGGGCCUUGCGCUACUAGAGCGGCUGAUGGUAGAUUAGGUAGUUGGUGGGUUAAAAGCUUACCAAGCCGACGAUCUGUAGCUGGUCUGAGAGGACGACCAGCCACACUGGGACUGAGACACGGCCCAGACUCCUACGGGAGGCAGCAGUGGGGAAUUUUGGACAAUGGGCGCAAGCCUGAUCCAGCAAUGCCGCGUGCAGGAUGAAGGCCUUCGGGUUGUAAACUGCUUUUGUACGGAACGAAAAGCCCUCUUCUAAUACAGGAGGGUCGUGACGGUACCGUAAGAAUAAGCACCGGCUAACUACGUG